rnacentral:rRNA from 1 species
AUUGAACGCUGGCGGCAGGCCUAACACAUGCAAGUCGAGCGAGCGGCGGACGGGUGAGUAAUGUCUGGGAAACUGCCUGCUGGAGGGGGAUAACUCCUGGAAACGGUAGCUAAUACCGCAUACCAUCAGAUGUGCCCAGAUGGGAUUAUCUCGUAGGUGGGGUAACGGCUCCCCUAGGCGACGAUCCCUAGCUGGUCUGAGAGGAUGACCAGCCACACUGGAACUGAGACACGGUCCAGAGUCCUACGGGAGGCAGCAGUGGGGAAUAUUGCACAAUGGGCGCAAGCCUGAUGCAGCCAUGCCGCGUGUGUGAAGAAGGCCUUCGGGUUGUAAAGCACUUUCAGCGGGGAGGCGUUACCCGCAGAAGAAGCACCGACUAACUCCGUGCCAGCAGCCGCGGUAAUUC